CACGGCUACUGUAGCGCUAACCAACGCAGCUGCAACGGUCAACUGCUUUCACACAAGCGUGUUGUAACUUAAGGCGAGCCGCGGGAAAGUAACCAGCGGAGCCGCCAGAGGAAUCUAAGAUUCUCGCCACUCUUACAACCGCCGCCAGGUUCUCACCGGUACUACAAUCUCACCCUAACGAGCUGCCGUACGCCUCCCGCAGAAGCGCGACGUCCUUUCAAAUGGACCACCCCAUGUGGCUACGCCGUGCCGCCGCCAGUGUAAUCGUCGGCUCACCGAACGGCGGUGGUUCCUUCCCUCGUUACAAUUCCACCAAUGGCAGCUACAGCUACAGCCACUGCUACAGUCCCGUCGACGUCAACGAGGCGCUCAUGGAGGCCGCUACCUGGUCGUGCACACGCAACUCGGCUCCGCUACAGCCUGCCGCCGCCGCCGCCGCCGCUGCCGCGGCGGCGGCUGCUGCUCCCGUUGCUCCAGCCGACCCCGCCGGCGCCGUCUCCGGCGCUUCAGCGCCUCUCCUCUCCAAGCUUAAACUCCGCUCCCCUUUCCGCAGCCGGAGAGAGACGAUCGACGGCAGCGACCAUAGCAGCCUUGGCCGCCGUCGUCAUUACCAGUACCUGCAGCAGGACCGGCAAUACAACAGGGACCCGGAAGCCGGGAGACCAACAUCGGGCUUGGAGGUAUCUGGGCGGGCGGUGACAGGCGGCUCGGGUGCAGGGAUCUUCAUGCUCGGCAGCCGGAGCCCCGUCAUGGCGUUCGGUGGAGGAGGGGCCGUGUGGCCGCAACAAAGCCGCGACACCGACGGCGGAAUCGUGCUUGGGAGCGACGGCGAGGCCGAGGGCGAGGGCGACGGCGACGGCAGCGAAAUCGGCGUCGGUGUCGGCGUCGGCGGGGAUGGAGUGCCGUCGUGGUCAGCAACGAUGACGGGCAAGAGGUCCAGGAGCCCAAUGCCGGAGGGGGCGUCCCAGGGUCCGGCCUCGGCGGUUCGAAGGGAAGUUCAAGAACGACAGGAUCGCCUCGUUGGGGAGGUAAGUACGUGUAGUAGCUGGCCGCUGAAAAGGCUUCCCGAGAUGCUGGUCAAGCGCUUUGCGCGUAUUUGUAGUUGUUGUGUGAGCCGUACUGUGUACCAUCUACUACAGUACGGCGUUGUUCGUAUGUAUGUAUAUGCCUUUCAGAUUUCCUCCUGGUUGCGAGCGGCUCUAGAGCGCAAGGCACAGGCUCAAAGCGGCAAGGUGCAGUCGGUGGGGGCACAGCUUCAGGCGGAGGCGGAGGCGGAGGCGGAGGCGGAGGCGGAGGCGGAGGCGGAGGCGGAGGCGGAGGCGGAGGCGGAGGCGGAGGCGGAGGCGGAGGCGGAGGCGGAGGCGGAGGCGGAGGCGGAGGCGGAGGCGGAGCUAGCCGCUAUUGUUACUGCUACUUUGCCUCCGGCGGCGUCAAUGGGGAGUUGACGUCAUAUGAUAUGUAUGUCCGGCCUCCCCUGGCUGCUGUGCCGUCGACGACGGCAACGUAUGUGCACCAGACCCUAUAUAGCUCCAGAUUUGGAUCUACACCCAGAUCCAGAUCCCAGAUCCAGGCCUAGGUCCAGGUUUAUGUUUCAAUCUGAUGCAAGAUCCAGGCCCGCCGUGGUUUCACAACUUGCCGAUAAGCAAGCAAGCUAGCUGGGCAACGUAGCCAGUUGCGCUGCUAAUAAGCUGGCGGCAUAGGCGAGAUAGUAACUUCUAUGCUGUUGUGGAAAGCAAAAGCUACGACCUUGCACCUUAGCUACUUGGUCACAUACCUCGUACAAUACUUAUAAACCUGCUUAUUAAUCCUCGUCCCCAAGCAGUUCGGCGGGCAGGGGAGGGCGUGCGCGUGCGCGUGGGCGUGUAGAUGAUAAAUACAUCGAUACGCCGCAGCUGCAAAUGCAGCAAGUGCGUACGUGCGCGUUUUACGUACUGGCCGUACGUAUGCGAUGAUAGUGCCUGCUGCAGGCUUGCUAGCAUGUUUGCACAUGUUUUUGAACCAGCUUCUCGCCGCUCGAGGAGGGAUAUGUGGCUAUGUGGCUAUGUAGGUGCGCGCACUCGGAGGUGUAGCGUUAUCUCGUAUAAUGAGCUGUUCAACAAUGCUCUGACACACCUGCUAGGCACAUCUAUCUAUACAUAUCUGUACAUAAGGAUUAUUUCUAUAUGAGUUAGUUGCCAUGCGAAUAUAUGUAUUUUGUUUCUCGCCCGCGCUCUCGCACUCUCUCGGCACACUUGCCUUCUCUUAAUCUCUCGCGAUCGAUCUCUUGCACGGGCGCAAGCUGCCGCUGGCGGAGUAUCGAUCCCCGUGGUUAAGUGAGUGCGUGGGUGCGGGAGUAUGCAUUCAUGCGAUGUCAGGCUGGCAGCAGAGGAUGGCUUCGGGCAAUAGACGAGAAUUCAUCAGUGAGGACACGGUCUUGCCAGAUGAGUCCACCGUACAUCAGCUCGUAAAGGAUUCAUUCUGUCGGACGGGCGUACUUCAUACUUCGUUUCGUACAUGGGUGUACGACAGGGUGUUACCAAGUGCACAGCUCGAAAUGUGCGCGUUGGGGCGGUUCGAAGCACAGGGGAGGGUUUCGGUAGAUAGCUAGGCGAAGCGGAGCGCGCGAGGACCCCAGCGGCGGCUGCCUUUGUCCGGAACAACAUAUACGUUUCUGCGGCUAAGGGAGCGAUGACCCCCAACCCUUAUCGCGAGAUCCCUUAACACAUGCUUCUCCGCAGUUCAUGGUCCCAGAACAAUCUUUCCUUUUCCUUUCGUUCUUCUUUUUUUCCUUAUGUAAGCGUAUGCGUAUGCAUGUAUGUAUGUGUGUAUGUCUGCGUGUUAUGAUGUAUGAUGGGUUAUUACAGUGGACUCGUGAACAGAUCGCCGGCGGUGCUGUGUCUGUUAUGCCCAUAUUUCCAAUAUCGUUCGGUGGGGGGGAGAGUAGGUGUGGCAAGGCUUGCAAAAGCAAGGACGUAGUAAGGUACAUGUAUGUUGUUGACGGGGGGUGUUACACUGUGGGCUUCUCACCCCGAGAAAGGACGAGCACCGGGGGCCCUGACCGGGGCCGAAACACAGCCACACAUGCUGUUAUUGUUAUUGUUGUUGUUGUUAUUGUUGUUGUUGUUGUUGCUGCUGUUACAGAGUGGAGGCUUCUGGGCCGAUUGAACACAUUUGUAUUGACAACAUAGGAUUGAACACCGUGCAACACCAUCUACCAUUACCACACUGCACUACGCCAUACAAACUGCAAGUCCAAGGCGGUUGAUUCUGCCUUCGCGCAACCAUUGCCCCCCGGAGAUCCCGGGAUCGAGACCUGUCAGGGCGGAGGGUAUAGCGCCCCUAGUUGAUGGACGGUGGUGACCUGGUAUAAAUUUAACCUACGAGCCGACCAGUAUUAGUGUUGGGCUGCUGUCGACCCGGCAGAUUCCGUUGGAUGCUGGUGGUGAGUGCGGAACCUGAGCGAUCCACUGAGAAGUUGACUAGGGUGACUGGAUGAGGGUGCCCCGAAAUACCGUGGAAGGCAGGGUUUCGCAGGGUAGCUGCCACGGGUGAAGAUAUAACCCCCCUGUUUCACACAUCAUGGGAGGAAUAUAUUCAAGGAAAUGCUUUGAACAGACCUGUAAGGAUAAUUUCUUCCUUUUUUGGCGUAGAUAUUAUGAAUCUUAAGGUCCAAGAUUAGGCAUGAAGAUACCUAUUAUACUAAUCCUAAUGGCUGGCAAAAAUCGCUGAUCAAAAUUGAGAGAAAUGAGAGAAAAGCCAGAAAACUUGAGGGAAUUCCAGUUAGAGCAUGAUUAAUCCUAGCAAAAGUAAGACUAUAUCAUUAAUUUGUGCAGGUAAAACUGUAGGUUUUCUGAGUUAUAUGGGAGAAAGCCAAGGUUUCUGUGUAUUUGCCGAGAGCGUACUGGGUUGGAUGCCGUUGGUGCGUACGGCUGGACCGUACAAGGCUAGAGUAAGCCCCAGGAGUGCAAAUUUAAUAUAACCAUUUGCAUGUAGGAAAUGUUUCUUGCCAACGCAGCAUGCAUGCAGGCAGGCAGAGGCAAAGGCAGGCUUAGCAGGCAGGCAGGCUGGCAUCAACCCCAGGGCGGGAGAAGCGGGGCCGCCCGCACAAGGUGAUGUAUGGUACGACAAGUAACGGGAUACGAAAACAGGUGCAAAAGGCUGCCAAUGUUUAAGUUUGCAAUGACGGAUGGUCUAGCCUUGCCAGGAUGAUUUUGUGAUAAGCGACGAGAGGAUGUAAUGUUGGAGUUACGGGCAACGCGAGGCAAGAGGGGGGGACCUGCGCGCGUCGCGUGACGCACUGUCAAGGUGGUGGUGGUAGUAAUGAUGGUGGUAGUAGUAAUAGUGGUGGUAGUAAUGGUUGUGGCGGUGGGUUGCGAGUACUGCGUAGCGGUGCAUGAGGUAAGAGGAUGCUCUAGUCGUCUAGCAGGGAGGAGCAGCAGCGGCAGCCAUACCAUACGUAGACCGACUGAGGCCGCCGUGCAAUAGUAGGGUGCGUAUAGUAGGGUGCGUAUUAUUGGAUCAAAAGGUGCAGAAGAACGAAAUGGAUUCAUGUGCAGUUCAGUUCAUUCAGCCUCAGCUUGGGGAGAUUCGAAGCUGCUUACGCGAGCAUGCAGUCUUGGCGCAGGAAGCCGGUUAAGAACAUCGCCAGAACAUCGCCAGAACAUCGCCCGUUAAGAAACUUCGCCAUAACUCGUUAUCAUAGCUCAAUUUCUACAUAAUGUCGAAUGUCAUGAUGCAGGAUAUGAAAAAAUGCGACCCGUAUUACUGCAUCCGUAUUACAGCACUAUGUUCAACAAUUGUAGCUCCGAACAACGACAUGUGUGUGUGUGGUUGUUACAGUGGGCUCCAGACUCACUAAGAGUAGAGCCAUCGGGCCAGCUGGCCGUGCACUGCACUAGAGACUAAUAUACAAUUUAGACAACAACCACCCAGAUGAGACAAGUAAACGCAAUGUUGGGGCUUACGCCCCUGCCUGACCAGUUAACAUCCUGUACG
rnacentral:lncRNA from 1 species